rnacentral:lncRNA from 1 species
AGGGAGUAGCAAAUAGUACUCUUUGCUUAGAUGUAAUUUUUUUUUCUUUCGUAGUGCCCAAAAAUAAAUAAGUAAAAGCUCAAUCAAAUUUUUACAGGUGGUAUGGGUUUGUAGGUACAUGCAUAUUUAAAAUAAAUAAAUAAAUUUAUAAGUAUGGUUUUUGUUUUUGUUCUCGACAACAAUUAGAGUAAGGGGUGCCAAUGCUCGAUGGCACAAGUACCGGAAUAAAGGUAGGGUAUGUACGCCGGCCUUAUAGCGAAGGUCGCCGUACACUUGGACAGGUUGACGCGUUGAUGU